rnacentral:ncRNA from 2 species
AAUCAAUAUGGAAACAAUGAUUCAUAUAUUUAUUUUGGGCACUUUAUAUAUGAGGAGUUAGUAGUGCAACCGGCCUUUGUUU